CAGGCUCCAAUGACUGUCUGAGAGAGGGACCAACCCUCUCCUGGUCUCUCCAUGACAAUGAAGUUGCACAGACAGAGGAAGAAGACAGGGUGAAGAAGCAGCCGCACUGAUACAGGCACAGAGAUGUGACAGCAAGCUCAGAUCCGUAAGCAACAGUAACAAGUCAGACAGACUAUAAGAAGGGUCUGGCAAGAUGGAGAAGGAAA